UAUGCCCCUGGCAAGCUACUGGCUGCAGAGAUAAGUUAAAAUGUCCACCUGCUUCUCUGAGCCUACCCUCCUCCAUUGCUCCAGCAGCACAGGCAACACUUCAUGUGCGGCAAAAGUUUAAAAGCAUGCGUUAAAAGUAAUUCGAUAAGUUACAUGAUAGCUUAGGAAGAGAUCACGGAUAUUUUCAGCCAAUCAAUUAGCAAUCAGUGGUUUUUAGAACAAUUGAAUAGAAGAGUAGCAAGGCACUUAUUCUGGUAGCCUUUAAAAAGUGCUGUUAAAAGUCUAAUAUCCAAACCAAAGUGAAGUCUCCCAUUUAGAUUGUUAGUAUAAGGAAAGCCUUCCUGAAUUGCAAUUCAUCACCAAAGGCUCUCAGCCCUGGUGGCAUCCUUGCUGUCUUAUUCUAGAAUAUAUUGCAAUAAAAAUGUCUAAGGGGAACUUUCAUGGAGCAACACCCCAGCUAAAGAGGUCCUAUGAGAGUUUAGAAAAAAUUGAUUAGUUUAGCAUUUGCUUUAUCUC
rnacentral:lncRNA from 1 species